CAUAUGAUUUAGUAUAAAUUAGAUAAAUUAGUUAGAAAAAUUUAAUGUAUCUAGAUAAAUCCUUGUUGUGCCUUAGUAAAUCAUAGAAACACAAAUGUCCACAUCAGGGCUUGGGCCUUUACGGAAGAUGCUCCGGAUCAAAACCAGAACGGUUCAGAGAUUCCCGUUCGAAUUCGGUGGUGGCGAUUUCAACAGAUCCAUGGCUGCAACUUCAGCAGCCCGACCAUACAGGGAAAGAGGAGGUGAAGCGGAACUGUACAAAGGGUUAAGCAUAUUCUGUUCCAUUGUCGUAUCAAUCCUGGGCACCUUGUUCUUUUUUUGAAUAAGAACAUGAUUUUAUUUUCAUCGUAAACAUUGGGAUCAU